CACAGACAACCAGGAUGUUGGCUUAGAAGCAGCCACUCAUUCAAAGAGUGCGUAAUAGCUCACUGGUCGAGUGAUCCUGCGCCGAAGAUUUCCGGGGCUAAAACUUACUACCGAAGCUACGGCAUCAGUAAUGAUGGGUAGGGGAGCUUCCCAUACGGGUUGAAGCAUGACCGUAAGGACAUGUGGACAGUAGGGGAGUGAGAAUGUUGGCAUGAGUAGCGAGAUGUGGGUGAGAAUCCCACAGGCCGUAAACCCAAGGUUUCCAGGGG
rnacentral:rRNA from 1 species